AGAUGACAUUGUGAUUCUCACCAAGUUCAAGCCGUGGCGGUCAGAAGGAGAAGAAUGCAAUGGACCUCUGUGUGAAACCGUUUCAACCACGGGGUCAGAAAUCCCAAGCAGCUCUGAGGGCCUAAACAGCACUGAGACCACUUUACUCAUCCCUGAUCAUCAAGUGAUUGAUAAAAGACAUGAAAGCAAAGACUCUAUUUUCUUCAGGGAUGGUGUCCGUCGAAUUGAUUUUGUGCUCUCAUAUGUGGAUGAUCUUAACAAAGAAUGGGAAAAAAAGUUGGUAAG